ACUGGAAGCUGAAUGGACCUCCAAUGCAGGCAAAUGAAAUGUCUUUUGUCUGCACUUUCAGCCUUCCUAAAGUAAAGUGAAGGUCUCUGUCUGGUUUAGAAUAGCUAGCUGAGCCAGAUCGUUCCCCUUCAUACAUU